rnacentral:rRNA from 2 species
GACGGGGAGGUUUGGCACCUCGAUGUCGGCUCAUCGCAUCCUGGGGCUGAAGUAGGUCCCAAGGGUUGGGCUGUUCGCCCAUUAAAGCGGUACGCGAGCUGGGUUCAGAACGUCGUGAGACAGUUCGGUCCCUAUCCGUCGUGGGCGUAGGAAAUUUGAGAGGAGCUGUCCUUAGUACGAGAGGACCGGGAUGGACACACCGCUGGUGUACCAGUUGUUCCGCCAGGAGCAUAGCUGGGUAGCUACGUGUGGACGGGAUAAGCGCUGAAAGCAUCUAAGCGUGAAGCCCCCCUCRAGAUGAGAUUUCCCAUUACGUUAAGUAAGUAAGACCCCUUAGAGAUGAUGAGGUUGAUAGGUCUCGGGUGGAAGCGUGGCGACACGUGGAGCUGAGAGAUACUAAUCGGUCGAGGGCUUAUCCAAAA